rnacentral:other from 1 species
AACACCCUACUAUGUGCGUAUUGUUGACUUAGUUUUGAUCCAACACCAUAAAAAAGGGAAUUCAGUGUUUACGGAUCUAGUAAAUGCCUUCUAGAAAGGACUUACGAAAUCAGUAACAGAAUACCCACCUGCGAGAGCAGGUUCAAAACUCUCAACUACGGCAUAGUGGGGAAAAU